rnacentral:rRNA from 1 species
UACGUAGGGCGCGAGCGUUGUCCGGAUUUAUUGGGCGUAAAGAGCUCGUAGGCGGUUUGUCGCGUCGUCCGUGAAAACUUGGGGCUCAACCUAGCUUGCGGGCGAUACGGGCAGGCUAGAGUUCGGUAGGGGAGACUGGAAUUCCUGGUGUAGCGGUGAAAUGCGCAGAUAUCAGGAGGAACACCGGUGGCGAAGGCGGGUCUCGGGGCCGAUACUGACGCUGAGGAGCGAAAGCGUGGGGAGCGAACAGG